UGAACGCUGGCGGUAGGCCUAACACAUGCAAGUCGAACGGCAGCACAGUAAGAGCUUGCUCUUACGGGUGGCGAGUGGCGGACGGGUGAGGAAUACAUCGGAAUCUACUUUUUCGUGGGGGAUAACGUAGGGAAACUUACGCUAAUACCGCAUACGACCUACGGGUGAAAGCAGGGGAUCUUCGGACCUUGCGCGAUUGAAUGAGCCGAUGUCGGAUUAGCUAGUUGGCGGGGUAAAGGCCCACCAAGGCGACGAUCCGUAGCUGGUCUGAGAGGAUGAUGAGGCCCACUUGAACCGAGACACCGUUCAGACUCCUACGGGAGGCAGCAGUGGGGAAUAUUGGACAAUGGGCGCAAGCCUGAUCCAGCCAUACCGCGUGGGUGAAGAAGGCCUUCGGGUUGUAAAGCCCUUUUGUUGGGAAAGAAAAGCAGCAGGUUAAUACCCCGCUGUUCUGACGGUACCCAAAGAAUAAGCACCGGCUAACUUCGUG
rnacentral:rRNA from 1 species